CCCGGAGUUGUGCGGCCGCAUCGCCAGCUCGUUGAUCACGAGCCCGGCCGGCGUCUCGCUCUGCUCGCCGGUUCGAGGCCCGCCUCCGGCG
rnacentral:tRNA from 1 species